rnacentral:rRNA from 1 species
UACAGAGGGUGCAAGCGUUGUUCGGAAUUAUUGGGCGUAAAGAGCUCGUAGGUGGCCUGUCGCGUCGGCUGUGAAAACUCGGGGCUCAACUCCGAGCUUGCAGUCGAUACGGGCAGGCUAGAGUUCGGCAGGGGAGACUGGAAUUCCUGGUGUAGCGGUGAAAUGCGCAGAUAUCAGGAGGAACACCGGUGGCGAAGGCGGGUCUCUGGGCCGAUACUGACACUGAGGAGCGAAAGCGUGGGGAGCAAACGGG